rnacentral:rRNA from 1 species
AUUGAACGCUGGCGGCAUGCUUUACACAUGCAAGUCGAACGGCAGCGCGGGCUUCUUCCUGUCGUCGUGUGUCUAACGGGUGAGUAAUUCAUCGGAACGUUCCCACUAGUGGUUGCUAGCUCGGCAAAAGUCGCACUAAUACCGCAUACCACCAGAAGGUGAAAGAGGUGGAUCUUGGGACCUCGCGCUAUUUUGCCGGCCGAUGGCAGAAUAGCUAGUUGGUGCGUUAAAGGCCUACCACGGCGACGAUCCGUCGCUGGGCUGAGAGGACGACCAGCGACACUGGGACUGAGACACGGCCCAGACUCCUACGGGAGGCGGAAGUGGGAAAUUUUGGACAAAGGGCGAAAGCCUGAUCGAGCAAUGCCGCGUGUGUGAUGAAGGCCUUCGGGUUGUAGAGCACUUUUGGCGGGAACGAAAAGGAAUGUGCCAAUACCACGGUUCGAUGACGGUACCCGCAGAAUAAGCACCGGCUAACUCCGUG